AAUGGCUUCAUUAUACCUAGUUCGUAUGCGACCCAAAUACUAAAUAGAAAAGCGUUUGUCAAAUUCAGGACUGGCGCUGGAAGCUGUAGGUGGAGGGAAGACCAGGAGUGGUGCAGCUCUGCAGAUGCUGAAGGGGACUGAGGCGACGCAGUCGGAGGUCCCUGCGGUGGCGGUCAGCGGGAGGUGUCAAGACCAACCAGCUCCUCGUCCAGGAAAGGGGAAUUCUUCAGACCGUUCUUCAAAGGUUCAAUAAAGUCACGAUGGAAGAGCAGAUGGCUGUGCAGUUGCCAUGGUGGAGAGACCCAGAGUAUGAUGACCGAACGGUUGAUCUACAACGAUGGCCUACUCCCCAUCCACCCUGAGGAUCCCUGGCUACGCCUACAAUCCAAUCUACCCCAGACAUAACCACUCGGAGCUCAACAACUCCUACAACUCCUCCUGCCUCCUACACACCAUACUGUUACCACUUUACCAUUUUAACUUUAACUAAAAAAGUACUGUAAUUCACACCAUGUUGUAGGAAAAGCAUGUUUAGCUCAAUGAUUUAUACAUUCUAUUUCUGUGACCCCAACUAUUGUAUUUCUAACCCAGUAACCUCGUAACCCUCUUUCUAAGGGAGCGACUAAAGGGACAAAGCUGGAGCAAACCUGAGCUUAACAAUCUUUCUAAUCUUUCUUUCAAAUGUCCUAAAUUGAAACAUAUAAAAUGCCUAAAGUAACUUGUCUAACAAAACAAAAAGCCAACCUAAUACCCAAACUUAACCAUCUAACUAAAGAUCUCAAAUGCCUAAACUCUCUUACCUUAACCGAGUACCUAAACCGAACCAUUUAACUAAACAUCUCAAAGGCCUAAACUCGCUUACCUCAACCUAACCUAAUACCCAAACUUAACCAUCUAACUGAAGAGCUCAAACACCUAAACUCUUACCUUAACCUAGUAACUAAACUGAACCAUCUAACUAAACAUCUCAAAGGCCUAAACUCGCUUACCUCAACCUAACCUAAUACCC